CCUCAGCCUCCUGAGUAGCUGGGAUUACAGGCACCCACCACCAAGCCUGGCUAAUUUUUUGUAUUUUUUUUUUUUUUAGUAGAGGCGGGGUUUCACCAUGUUAGCCAGGAUGGUCUCGAUCUCCUGACCUUGUGAUCUGCCCACCUUGACCUCCCAAAGUGCUGGAAUUACAGGUGUGAGCCACUGCACCCGGCCAACAGUAACAUAUCUCUAAGAAGCUAAAGAGAGCUGGUCACUCCAUUAUGGAGGUGACUGAAGAGAUCACAAACCAUCAGGAAGCCAAUGGUGUCCAGCUUACAAUUUCUGAAACGAAGGUCAGUCUAAAUUUUAUAUCUGAUCCCUGAGGAAGAAAUCCAUGAAAGCCAAAAAAUAAUCCCUAGCUCUUUCUCCUCAUAGCCCUCCCCAGUGCUGAUGCAGAGAGAACCAGAUGGAGUUGGGGGUUCCCCGUUUAAUAAAUCUAAUCCCAUUCUCUACGAAUACGUGCCAAAUUGCCUUUUGCUGAAACAAAUUUUCCACAUGCCGUUUUCUCUCAAGAGUUUGUGGUCCUGGCAUGUCUUCAAUAGCCCGUUUUGUUCAUACCUACAAAGGAGCUGAAGGGGCCUUCUCAGUGUCAUUUAGAAUUCAAACAUCGGGCAUCCUGGGGUGUGAGCAGACAUAAAUGAUGUACAUGGUAUUUGAACAUGACCAUGCUGUUGGCUAAUUUGGUCUUUUGCUUCUAACUUGGCUGUCUUUGCCAAGUACCUGGCUCCACACCUUUUUCCUGGUGGGCCCACAGCUCCACCAAGUCUCCUGGAAAACAGGUGGCACUUCCCUUCCUCGCGCUUCUCUUUUUAGUUCCGUACUCCCUUCACUCACAUCCUAGCAGGCCUCUAUUUGAAGUGACCUCUGCUUCCAAGGGAGCUUGAAUGAUAAUGAUCGACAGAUCUGGUAUCUCCCUCGCUCAUAGAUGUGGAUAGUCUGCAAUAGGUGAUAUUCUUCUGACUCCUACUUCAGUGCUCUCCUACUCAGUGAAACUCCAUGUGUUUCUAAAAGGACUUCGGAGCAACUGAGACACACAUAGAUAGAUAGACAGACAGAUAGAUAAAUAGGUAGAUAAGUAGAUAGAUAAUGGAUGGAUCGAUCCAUGAAAGGGCAGGAGACAUUGUGUAUAGGUUUGUGUGUGGUGUUUGUUCAUGUUGUGAAGACAGAGGCAUAAGCUAUCAUAAGGAGAGAAGAACAAUGGGAAAGGAGGAGGAGGACAGAAUUUUAUCUGAGGCAGGGAAGUGAACAAAAGGACAAACUAGGGUGGGCGUGGUGGCUCACAGCUGUCAUCCCAGCUCUUUGGGAGGCUGAGGCAGGAGGAUUGCUUGAGUCCAGGAGUUUGAGACCAGCCUGGGCAAUACAGUGAGACCCCAUCUCCAUAAAAAUUAAACAUUAGCCAAGUGUGGUGGUGCACACUUGUAGUCCCAGUUCCUCAGGAGGCUGAGGUGGGAGGAUUGCAGGAGCCCUACCGUUCGAGGCUGUAGUGAGCUGUGAUUGUGCCACUGCACUCCAGCCUGGGUAAGAGAGACACCCUGUCUCAAAAAAAAAAAAAAAAAAAAGACAAACCAUAUCAAAACGUAUUUCAAAUGAAAGCCUGGUUGAAAACUUAGAAAUGUUUCAUCUGAAGAGUAGAUAUGACAACCCCUUUCACUUAUGUCACCCUGAAUAACUUUUAAAUUAGCCAAGGAGGUUUAAUUUCUUAGAAAUUGGGUGGUAGUAAGAGAAUAUUUGAAAGAUCCAGGAGUCUAUCUCUACAGAACAUAAGUCUCUGAAUUGCAUGUUUUCCUUUGUGACCUUAUCUUGAAAUUUCAGCCACUUGAAGCAGAGUAUAAUAUACAGCUGAACAACAAAGGCAAAGCCCUCUUUUGUCCACAACAUUAAUCUUUGUCCAGCUGUUGUAAUAGAAGUGAUUUUUAAAGUUAAUUAUUAUAAAAUUUGUCCAUAUUCAUUGGUUAAAAAAUAGAAAACACAAAUAAGCAAAACAAAAAUACCAAUAAUCUCACUACAUUAACAUUUUGGUAUUUAUUCUCCCAAAGAUUUUUCUGUGAUAAUGAUAUAUAUUCUUUUCGUACAAAAUGGGAUCAUAUUUUAUAUAUUGUUCUGUAAUCUGCUUUUCUCACUCUCAUUCACAUGUAAACAUCUGUCUCUGCUAAUAAAUAUACAAUAUCUUUUUAGUGGCUACAUAGCUUUCCAUUGUCUCACUAAAUCAAAAACUUUUUUUAGCCAAUCCCUUAUUGUUAAACAUUUAGGCUACUUCAAAUUUUUAAUUUUUAUUUAUUAUAAACAUUGCUACAUCUUUGGAAACUUCCAAUAGUUACCUUUGCAUGUAUCUCUAGAAAAGGAAUUGUUAGGUCAAAUUAUAUACAAUUUUAAAGCUUUAAUGGCCCAUUGUCAAAUUAUCCCCCUUUCCUAGAAAUUUUUACAAUUUACAUUCUUCCAACACUACUCUUUAGGGAACUAUCCUUUUCCCCACAUCCUCUCCAACAUUGAAUAUUAUUAUUUUCUUUUUUUGUGUGAGUCCAAUAGGUGAAAAUGGUUUCAUAUUUACUGUUACUCUUUUAUUACCACAAAGAAUAAACCUUUUACAAAGCUUAGUUGGUAAUUUUAAUUUCUUCCUUUGCUGAAUUGCUUAUUAAUAGUCUCUGAUCAUAUUUAAAGUGGAACAAUUAUUAUUGUAUUUUUAGAUAGGCUCUUGCCAUGUCACCCAGGCUGGAGUGCAGUGGCAAGAUCUUAGCUCACUGCAGCCUCGACCUCCUGGGCUCCAGCAAUCCUACCACCUCAUCUCCCCUUCCCCCAGUAGCUGGGACUACAGUUGUGUGCCACAACACCUAGCUAACUUUUGUGGAGACAGGGUCAUGCCAUGUUGUCUAGGCUGGUCUCGAACUCCUGGGCUCAAGCAAUCCACACACCUCAGCCUCUCAAAGUGCUGGGGUUACAGGUGUGAGCCACCAUGGCCAGCCAGCCUAUUGUGUUUUUUGAAGUACAAGAACAUUGAGUUUUUAAUGUAGUUAAAUCUAUCCCCCUUUUUUUUUUUUUUUUUUUUUUUUUUUUUGAGACAGAGUCUCGCUCUGUCACCCAGGCUGGAGUGCAGUGGUGCUAUCUCGGCUUGCUGCAAGCUCCACCUCCCAGGUUCACACCAUUCUCCUGCCUCAGCCUCCCAAGUAGCUGGGACUACAGGUGUCUGCCACCAUGCCCGGCUAAUUUUUUUGUACUUUUUUAGUAGAGGUGGGGUUUCACCAUGUUAGCCAGGAUGGUCUCGAUCUCCUGACCUCGUGAUCCGCCCGCCUCGGCCUCCCAAAGUGCUGGGAUUACAGGCGUGCACCACAGUGCCCGGCCAAAUCUAUCCUUUUCAAAUAUGAUUUCUGACUUGUGUGUCAUGCUUUCAAACUCGUUCCCUCCUUAAAGCUAUAUAAUAUUUUUCUAUAUUUUUUCUGGCUUUUUUUCUUUCUUUUUAACACUCAAACUCACCUGGAGUAUAUUUUAGUAUAAAGCAUGAGGUUGAGCUCUAAAUUUCCCCCCAAAUGUUAGUCAGUUGUCCCAAGACUAUUUAUUAAAUAAUGCACUUGCUAUGAAAUGUUAAUUCUAGUUUGAUUCCAAGUGUACACUGUUUUAAUUGUUGAUCAAGCAUGACACGCUCCCUGUGAAGUCCCCACCCUUAUUCCAUCUUACAAUUUCACUUUUUCCUUCUUUUAGAAUUAUCCUGGCUAUUUGUAACCAGUUAUUCUUCCAGAUGAAAUGUGCAUAGGGAUUUUUAAGAUGACUGGGUUGAAUUUAAGAUGACCAUUUUUACAUGGUUGAGUCUUUCAUCAGGAACACAGUAUACCUCUCCAUUCGUUUAAGUCUUUUAUGUCCCACAAUAAGAAUCUGAACAUUUUAUAUUAUCACCUGCAUUUUUUCAGUUAAGUUUAUCCCUGGGUAGUUUACGUUUGUGCCAUUUUUAUGAUAUUACCAAUGUUGGUGUGUGCUAACGAGUGGCUUUUUUAGCAUAGUAGAUAAGAGCCCUGGGUCAGUUGUCCUGAGUCUGAAUCAGGGUUCACUUUCUUGCUAUGUGACAUUAGGCAAAUUAACCUUUCUUAGCCGGAGUUUCUUAUCUCAUCUCACCUGCAAAACAUACAUAACAUACCAUGAGCUUUAUUGUUUUGUAAACAAUAAAUGAGAAAAUGCAGGUGAAAUACCAUACUCCAGGCCUGACACACAGACACAUGAAUGAAUGUUAGUAAUCCUUAUUUUGCAGGUUUUACAUAAGUAGCCAGUGUUUGUUGGUAAAACACUAGCAUGAAUAUUGUUUCAAAUAUCCAAAGGCUUUCAGCAACCAUGUUCCAAAACAAACUUUAAAUUUCUAAGGAGAAGCAUUUUGAAGGCUCACUGUGGGACACUGUCCAUCAACAAGAACUUGUUUAACUUAAAGCACCAAAGAGGAAAAGAAGCUCAAGCUAUGGUGCCCACUGCCACAGCUCUGUGGACCGUGAGCAACGGACAAAGCUCUGCUACUAGUUGCCUCGCCUGUGGGACAUCAGGCCACUCCCAGAGUGUAGCAGCUCUUACUGGUGCUGGGAUGGACAUCAGGCAUGUCAGUAAAGCAGCAAGCUGGGACCUGGCCUGCCACUUGUGCCUGGAGGCAUUCUCUCCCAAAUGCUCCUUCCUUUAUUUAGUUAGAUAUGUUUCCUGCUGUCUUUUUGGCUAUUUAUUUUCUCUGUGGAAUCAUCAAAUAAACCUAGACAUUUUUAAUUCUGAAAAGUCCUAGAGUUCUCUGUUAAAAAGAUCUUAGCAAACUGUCACAGAAUUGCAACACAUCAAAUAAGUGAUCCCUUUUCAAACCUUUAGUUUGAAAGCAGUUUUGGUAACUUAACUAUGAUGGUAACAUUAGCAAGCAAUUUUUCUAGGAAUGUUAGACAGAUAUUUUAAGAAUGUGGGCCAAGUGUGGUGGCAAAUGCCUGUAAUCCUAGCAACUUGGGAGGCCAGGGCACUUGAGCCUCAAGGACCACUUGAGCCCAUGAGUUCGAGACCAGCCUGGGGAACAUAGUGAGACACUGUCUCUACAAAAAAUUCAAAAAUUAGCUGGGCAUGGUGGCUCGUGUCAGUAGUCCCAGCUAUUAAAAGUAAUGGCAAAAACUGCAAUUACUUUUGCACCAACCUUAUACCUUAUGUUUGGGUGGCUGAGGUGGGAGGGUUGCCUGAGACUGAGAAGGUUGAGGCUGUAGUGAGCUGAGAUCACACCACUGCACUCUAGUCGUCUGGG
rnacentral:lncRNA from 1 species